GCCGGGUGUGGUGGCGCAUGCCUGUAAUCCAAGUGUCAUGGAGGCUGAAGCUGGAGGAUUGUAGGAGCUCUGAGCUGCAGUGGUCUACGCUGAUCGGGAGUCCGCACUCAGUUCGGUAUCAAUAUGGUCUGUCUGGAGGAGCCUGGAACAACCAGGUCGUCUAAGGAGGGGUGAAUCGGCCCAGGUCGGAAACGGAGCAGGCCAAAGCCCCCGUCCCGCUCAGUUGUGGGAUUGCACCUGAGAGUAGACGCUGAAAAUGAGAAUUUAAUUAGAUAAUGUAUUUUCUU
rnacentral:SRP_RNA from 1 species